GAUGAACGCUGGCGGCGUGCCUAAUACAUGCAAGUCGAGCGAACGGACGAGAAGCUUGCUUCUCUGAUGUUAGCGGCGGACGGGUGAGUAACACGUGGAUAACCUACCUAUAAGACUGGGAUAACUUCGGGAAACCGGAGCUAAUACCGGAUAAUAUUUUGAGCCGCAUGGUUCAAAAGUAAAAGACGGUCUUGCUGUCACUUAUAGAUGGAUCCGCGCUGCAUUAGCUAGUUGGUAAGGUAACGGCUUACCAAGGCAACGAUGCAUAGCCGACCUGAGAGGGUGAUCGGCCACACUGGAACUGAGACACGGUCCAGACUCCUACGGGAGGCAGCAGUAGGGAAUCUUCCGCAAUGGGCGAAAGCCUGACGGAGCAACGCCGCGUGAGUGAUGAAGGUCUUCGGAUCGUAAAACUCUGUUAUUAGGGAAGAACAUAUGUGUAAGUAACUGUGCACAUCUUGACGGUACCUAAUCAGAAAGCCACGGCUAACUACGUG
rnacentral:rRNA from 1 species